rnacentral:rRNA from 1 species
GUGACGAAGCGACGCCGCGUGCGGGAAGAAGGCCUUCGGGUUGUAAACCGCUGUCGGGAGUUAGGAAAUGCAAGGAUGUUAAUAGCGUCCUUGCUUGACUAAGGCUCCGGAGGAAGCCACGGCUAACUCUGUGCCAGCAGCCGCGGUAAUACAGAGGCGGCAAGCGUUGUUCGGAAUUAUUGGGCGUAAAGAGCACGUAGGCGGCUGUGUAAGUCGGUUGUGAAAGCCUUCCGCUUAACGGAAGAACGGCAUCCGAUACUGCAUAGCUUGAGUGCGGGAGGGGAGAGUGGAACUUCUGGUGGAGCGGUGAAAUGCGUAGAUAUCAGAAGGAACACCGGCGGCGAAGGCGACUCUCUGGUCCGUAACUGACGCUGAGUGUGCGAAAGCUAGGGGAGCAAACGGGAUUAGAUACCCCGGUAGUCCUAGCCGUAAACGAU